rnacentral:rRNA from 1 species
AGAGUUUGAUCCUGGCUCAGGACGAACGCUGGCGGCAUGCCUAACACAUGCAAGUCGAACGAGAAAGUUCCUUCGGGAGCAAUUAAAGUGGCGCACGGGUGAGUAACGCGUAGACAAUCUGCCCUUCAGUCUGGGACAACUUUUCGAAAGGAGAGCUAAUACCGGAUAACAAUGCAUGACACAAGUUGUAUAUUUGAAAGCUUUAUGUGCUGAAGGAGGGGUCUGCGUCCCAUUAGCUAGUUGGUAAGGUAAAGGCUUACCAAGGCAACGAUGGGUAGCGGGUUUGAGAGGACGAUCCGCCACACUGGAACUGAGACACGGUCCAGACUCCUACGGGAGGCAGCAGUGGGGAAUAUUGCACAAUGGAGGAAACUCUGAUGCAGCAAUGUCGCGUGAGUGAAGAAGGCCCUUGGGUCGUAAAGCUCUUUUAUGGGGGAAGAUGAUGACGGUACCCCAAGAAUAAGCACCGGCUAACUAUGUGCCAGCAGCCGCGGUAAUACAUAGGGUGCGAGCGUUGUUCGGAAUUACUGGGCGUAAAGGGCGCGCAGGCGGAAUAGUAAGUCGGAGGUGAAAGCCCGGGGCUCAACCCCGGAGGGUCUUUCGAAACUACUAAUCUAGAGAGGGUCAGGGGCCGGCAGAAUUCCUGGUGUAGAGGUGAAAUUCGUAGAUAUCAGGAGGAAU